AUUGAACGCUGGCGGCAGGCCUAACACAUGCAAGUCGAACGAGUGGCGGCCGGGUGAGUCAUGUCUGGGAAACUGCCCGAUGGAGGGGGAUAACUACUGGAAACGGUAGCUAAUACCGCAUACCAUCAGAUGUGCCCAGAUGGGCUUAGCUAGUAGGUGGGGUAAAGGCUCACCUAGCCGACGAUCCCUAGCUGGUCUGAGAGGAUGACCAGCCACACUGGAACUGAGACACGGUCCAGACUACUACGGGAGGCAGAAGGGGGGAAUAUGGCACAAUGGGGGCAAGCCUGACGCAGCCAUGCCGCGUGAGUGAAGAAGGCCUUCGGGGUGUAAAGUACUUUCGGUGGGGAGGCGUUAACUGCAGAAGAAGCACCGGCUAACUCCGUGCCAGCAGCCGCGGUAAUAC
rnacentral:rRNA from 1 species